CAGCCGCCGCGGUAAUACAGAGGGUGCGAGCGUUAAUCGGAUUUACUGGGCGUAAAGCGUGCGUAGGCGGCUUCUUAAGUCGGAUGUGAAAUCCCUGAGCUUAACUUAGGAAUUGCAUUCGAUACUGGGAAGCUAGAGUAUGGGAGAGGAUGGUAGAAUUCCAGGUGUAGCGGUGAAAUGCGUAGAGAUCUGGAGGAAUACCGAUGGCGAAGGCAGCCAUCUGGCCUAAUACUGACGCUAAGGUACGAAAGCAUGGGGAGCAAACAGGAUUAGAUACCCCAGUAGUCCCUGUCUCUUAUAC
rnacentral:rRNA from 1 species